rnacentral:lncRNA from 1 species
GAGAAGAUAUGUGGAUGAAAAAUAAGCACAUGAAAAAUUUCACAACAUUAUUAGAUUCUAGGGAAAUACAAAUUAAAACAAGUUACCCUACAUGCUCACUAGAAUGGAUACAACUAAAAGGACUCCAUACCAAGUGUUGGUGAUACUGCUUCUCCCAACUAACUUUAUUCUGAUUAACAUUUCUGAUUUCCUUCCUAAAUAAUUACGCUUGGUGGCUUUGAGAAUAUAAUGAGAAUAUAUCCAUUUAUACAUUGUUGGUUUUAGAAUAUCUCUCCUUAGAAGUUUUCAUCUAGGAUUAAAAUAAAGCAUCUCUAACAUUCGAGCUUCUUUUCUUUCCACAGACUUACAGUAACUUCUCUACUUAUUUGUAUUGAUUAAUAAUGUUAACCUUCCAAUACCUCAUUUUUGCA